UUUCAGAACUUAUUUGGCUUUUAAUAGGAAUAAGUAAGUAUUCCCUGGCAUGUCUUAAACUUGAAACUAUAGUUUAUUUCAUCACAAAUGAAAAUUCCCCUUUUCUUAGUUUUACGUCGUAUUUUUCUCCCUCCAAAGGGCACCGACCCCCUUCCCCCAAAACUGAAAAAAAUCACUGAGAUCAAAUGUCAACAGGGCUUUUUUCCUGUCCAGUCCAUAACUCUCCCAUCCAUGAAGGGAUUGUAAUAUCAAUUGGCACAAUUGUACCUCAUAAUAAGACAAUGUGUUAUGCACAACUUUCAGGCCCCUAGCUCAAAGGUCAAGGUCACCCUUAGCAGUCAAAUGUUAACAUGGAAUGAACAGAGUCUGUUUCCUGUCAGGUCCAUAACUCUGUCAUUCAUUAAGGGAUCUCAAUAUUACUUGGCACAGAUGUUUCCCAUGAUAAGACAACAUGUCGUGCUUAAAACCCGGACCCCUAGCUCAUAGGUCAAGGUCAAAAUUGGAGGCCAAAGGUCAAUAGUGGUUUUUUCCUGUCCGGUCCAGAACUGUGUCAUCCAUCAAGGGAUUACAAUAUUACUUGGCAUAAAUGUUCCCCAUGAUGAGACGACAUGUCAUGCACAACACCCAGUACCCUAGCUUAAAGGUCAAGGUCACGCUUUGAGAUCAAAGGUCAAUAGGAUUUCUUUCCUGUUUGGUCUAUAACUUUGUUAUGCAAAACAGGAUUUGAAUAUCAGUUGGCACAAACAUUCCCUUGGAUGAGACGGCGUGUUGUGUGCAAAGCCCCGGCCCUAGGUCUAAGAUCAAGGUCACACUAAGAGGUCAAAGGUCAGAUUCAAGAAUGACUUUGUCUGUGGCAUUUCUCCUUUAUGCAUGGAGGGAUUUUAAUGUAACUUGGCACAAAUGUUCACCACUGUGAGACGAAUUGUUAUGCGCCAGAACCAGGUCCUUAGGUCUAAAGUCAAGGUCAUACUUAGAGGUCAAAGGUCAAAUUCAAGAAUGACUGUCAGGAGCAUUUCUUCUUCAUGCAUGGAGGGAUUAUUUUUAUGUAACUCGGCACAAAUGUUCACCACCAUGAGGCACACUUUUUUUUAGAACUACGUCGCUUUGUUGUUACUAUAAAUAGAUUAUAUUGUAACUUUUUGAUAAUUGACCAUAGGGAAAAACCAAGAUCACUUUUUUGUGGUACAACAUAAUGUUACUUUCAACUUUAGGUAUAUUUUAAGGUAUCUCUGCCUGGUAAGGAGUUUUUUUGUGGAUUCAGAAAAAACAAAGAAUUACAAUAAUUACUACACAACCAUAGAAUUAAAAUUCCAUUUGCAAAUAGAGGUGCUAGUGUAAAGAAAUUUGCUAUGACAGGCGUACAUUGUGACAUUCUGGCACUCUUGUUUUUUUUUGUUUUUAUACAUACAAAUUUUAAUCCAAGUGUUUUGUUAUAACAUAGUGUAUAUAUAGUACAAUGUUGUUUAUACAUUAUUGACAGAUACCAGAGUUCAUUAUGUUAUACUGCAGUAGAGAAAAUUAGUUGCCUUCCAGUAGGGGACUUUGUAUUGCAUGGCAAUAUACUUAAUUCACUUGUUUAUCAAAGGAUGUUAACUGAAAAUUUACUGACUGAAUAGUGAACAGUACAGACCUUGAUGAGCCUGCAAGGAUGUGUAGGCUGAUCUUGGUCUGCACUAGCUGCAAAGGCACUAUCACUUGCUGCCAGCAAGCUAAAGGUUAAGGUUAAUAUGUGUAUUUGUUGUUGGACUUUGAAAUUAGAUAAUAUUACUAAUAUUAAAUUCUUUUAUUGUAUCUGAGGUUAAUUGAUUCU